CCUACGGGUGGCAGCAGUGAGGAAUAUUGCUCAAUGGACGAGAGUCUGAACCAGCCAAGUAGCGUGAAGGAUGACUGCCCUAUGGGUUGUAAACUUUUUUUAUAAAGGAAUAAAACGAGGCACCUGUGCCUUUUAGCAUCUACUUUAUGAAUAAGGAUCGGCUAACUACGUGCCAGCAGCCGCGGUAAUACGGAGGGUCCGAGCGUUAUCCGGAUUUAUUGGGUGUAAAGGAAGCGUAGGUGGAUAGUAAAGUCAGAUGUGAAAGUUUGCGGCUCAACCGUGAAAUUGCAGUGGAAACUGGCAGUCUGGAGUACAGUAGAGGUGGGCGGAAUUCGUGGUGUAGCGGUGAAAUGCUUAGAUAUCACGAAGAACUCCGAUUGCGAAGGCAGCUCACUGGACUGCAACUGACACUGAGGCUCGAAAGUGUGGGUAUCAAACAGGAUUAGAUACCCUAGUAGUC
rnacentral:rRNA from 1 species